GAUGAACGCUAGCGGCAGGCCUAAUACAUGCAAGUCGAACGGUGUCUUCGGACAUAGUGGCGCACGGGUGCGUAACACGUAUGCAACCUACCUUACAUUGGGGGAUAGCCUUUCGAAAGGGAGAUUAAUACCGCAUAAGACAGUAGCUGGGCAUCCAGCAGCUGUUAAAGAUUUAUCGAUGUAAGCUGGGCAUGCGUCCAAUUAGCUAGUUGGUGAGGUAACGGCUCACCAAGGCAAUGAUUGGUAGGGGAACUGAGAGGUCAAUCCCCCACACUGGCACUGAGAUACGGGCCAGACUCCUACGGGAGGCAGCAGUAGGGAAUAUUGGGCAAUGGACGCAGGUCUGACCCAGCCAUGCCGCGUGCAGGAUGAAGGCGUUAUGCGUUGUAAACUGCUUUUAUACAGGAAGAAACGACUCUUGCGAGAGGCAUUGACGGUACUGUAUGAAUAAGCACCGGCUAACUCCGUGCCAGCCGCCGCUGUAAGAC
rnacentral:rRNA from 1 species